rnacentral:lncRNA from 1 species
AAUAUAAUAAUAUAUAAUACUAUAUUAUAUAAAAUAUGAUAUAAUAUUAUUAUCAAAUAAUAAUAUUUUAAUUAUUCUUAUAUAAUAUAUUACUAUAAUAAUAUUGUUACUAUGCCUCUCCAACUGGAUGAUGCAGUGGAGUAGCUAGACCAGAUAGCUCAAAUUGAAUGCCGCACUGGAGUUGGUAGGCGACAAGUUGGAACUUCGAUCACCUACAAAGAAAGUCCGCAUGUUAGAGAAAAAGGUGGGGAUUCUCUGACGGGGGGACCCUCCAAAGCUUAAGUUAGUGGCAAUCGAAGAGGGAGAAUAGUAGAGGAAGAUGGUGAGAAUAGAGUAUCGAGUUGAGACAAAAGGAAUCUCCCUAUUCUUUCCUUCACUUUUCCUUUUAUAGGAGAGAGUUUGCCAGAUGGUUAGCAUCUACUAGAGUUGUAGCGGCUAUCAGAGCCAGGAUGGUGGAUCUCACUGGAGUUGAAAUAGUGACUGUUAGAGCCAAGAUAGUGGAUAUUAGCAGGCUGUCCCGAGGUCAGUCAUCCACAUCUAGAGGGGUAGUAAGCACACACAACAGACUGCCAGUCCAAUGAGAUUUGCGCACCAAGUGCCUUUGGAACCAUCUGAUUUGAAGGAAGGCUUGUAGGGAGUCAGGGC